rnacentral:rRNA from 1 species
UACGAAGGGGGCGAGCGUUGUUCGGAAUUACUGGGCGUAAAGGGCGCGCAGGCGGCUCUGAAAGUCAGAUGUGAAAGCCCCGGGCUUAACCUGGGAAUUGCAUUUGAUACUGUGGAGCUUGAGUGUGGGAGAGGAGAGUGGAAUUCCCAGUGUAGAGGUGAAAUUCGUAGAUAUUGGGAAGAACACCGGUGGCGAAGGCGGCUCUCUGGACCGCAACUGACGCUGAGGCGCGAAAGCGUGGGGAGCGAACAGG